AUUGAACGCUGGCGGCACGCUUUACACAUGCAAGUCGAACGGUAACAGGGAGCUUGCUCCGCUGACGAGUGGCGAACGGGUGAGUAAUAUAUCGGAACGUGCCCAAGAGUGGGGGAUAACGUAGCGAAAGUUACGCUAAUACCGCAUACGAUCCAAGGAUGAAAGCAGGGGACCUUCGGGCCUUGUGCUCCUGGAGCGGCCGAUAUCUGAUUAGCUAGUUGGUGAGGUAAAGGCUCACCAAGGCGACGAUCAGGAGCUGGUCUGAGAGGACGACCAGCCACACUGGAACUGAGACACGGUCCAGACUCCUACGGGAGGCAGCAGUGGGGAAUUUUGGACAAUGGGGGCAACCCUGAUCCAGCAAUGCCGCGUGAGUGAAGAAGGCCUUCGGGUUGUAAAGCUCUUUUGUCAGGGAAGAAAAGGGUACGGCUAAUAUCCGUGCCUCAUGACGGUACCUGAAGAAUAAGCACCGGCUAACUACGUGCCAGCCGCCGCAGUAA
rnacentral:rRNA from 1 species